UACGUAGGGCGCAAGCGUUGUCCGGAAUUAUUGGGCGUAGAGAGCUCGUAGGCGGCUUGUCACGUCGAUUGUGAAAGCCCGAGGCUUAACCUCGGGUCUGCAGUCGAUACGGGCUAGCUAGAGUGUGGUAGGGGAGAUCGGAAUUCCUGGUGUAGCGGUGAAAUGCGCAGAUAUCAGGAGGAACACCGGUGGCGAAGGCGGAUCUCUGGGCCAUUACUGACGCUGAGGAGCGAAAGCGUGGGGAGCGAACAGG
rnacentral:rRNA from 1 species